ACGUCUUUUCCUCACCCGCUCUCUCUAUCCCUCAUCGUCAUGGGCUCAAGUUUUUUCCAACUUUCUACUAUAUUUUUGCUCCGGCGAUGCUCACAAUCUCAUUAACUCUCGCCGCCUUUCCCUUACUCUCACCGUCUCUCUCUCCAUAUAUAUAAUAAUCACUUCACAAAAAACUCACAGCUCGAUCGGCAACCCCACCGUCGGCCGCCUCCGCGUCACCACCACAAUAAACGAUCAUCAUCUUUAUAUCACUUAUUGCAACGGAAGUUGUGUUUGUGUUUGUAAGGAUGCUGACAAUGGAAGAAUAAGAUUUGCAACCACUGGGACAUCGGCUGAGGUGUAGGCACACCUCAUACUCUAAUAUAGGGGUGACUGCAUCAAAUGUUACGCAUAGUGCAAGAAAUUCAGAGAAAUACAAGUAGAAUCAAAUACAGGGUGUGAUUCUAUUGCCCGACUGGCAGUCUGGCACGUGGAGUCAGCCUGCAACAUAGUACUCACCAGCAGCCAGUCAACCUAAAAAACUAUGAAAGCAACAUGCCACAAUCGUCGAUAACCCUCCAAUCACUGACACACAUCAGGGUCGAUCGAAAGGUUGAGCAUCCAAGUCAUGGAUCGUUGGAACAAGUUUUGGUCGCUUUUGUUACCUUCUUCAACUUAAACUCUACCCACCUUUCUCAUACCCAUCCCCUUUCACACCUUCCUUUCAGUCGGUCUCUCUCUCUCUCUCUCUGUAUUAGACCCACACCCACAAGUACUCUCAUUAUAUACAUAUAAGCACUCGUCGCCCCCCACCCCACCCACACCGGCAGCCACCACCACAAACAUUGCCGCCGCCGAUCCCACCACAACUACCUAAUGAAACAACAGAUCCUUUUUUUUGAAGAUGAAGUUUGGAGAAUUCGAUGAACAAACUGCGAAAGCUUGUGGAUUUGGAUCGGAUUUUCAGCUGAAAGGAAAAUACAUUUAGUAAGAAGUGAAGCUUUAGAAAGAAAACCUUCAGGAAGAAACUGAAAAGAGAGCAUUAUAUCCGGAGCCAGUCAUACUCCAAGAUGUACUAUAAUAAUAAGCCGAAUACUGCGAAGAAUCCUGCUCAUACUGUAGCAAUUUCAAAGAAUGAAAUUCAGUUGCAUACAGUGCAAAGAAUCAGCCAGCUAUGUCAACAGGCCAAGCAGCCAGUGCAAUGAUUCAGCCAUUUGGCACUAAUGUGCCUUUUGCAACUUCAGGGUCUCUCUGCUCAUUUAAGGGUAACUCUAGGGGUCGACCCUUUAGCAUCCUUUAUCAGCAACGCAUUAGUUAAAGAUCAUAAUGUUUAGUGUCUGCAUUUGUAUUGUCAACCAGUGAUCGUAAUGAAGAUUAUGUUAUUUCCGUAAAGAACACUUUUUAAACUUUUGUAGGAGAUCAUAUGCCUAAGAUGGCAGUCGUUAAGGUGGACUAAGAGCAGUAUGUGGCAAGUCCUACAGAAAUGAUAUGAUGGACUGUCUAUAGAAGAUAUCUACAAAAGAUGGAGAGGUUCUUUGCAAAGUUUGCAAGGUCUGUACUAUAAGGAAGAGAACGUUAUCGAUCAAGUUGCAAGAUUUAAGCCAAUUAGGCAUCAAUACGGUGCAACUUCUUGUGAUAACACAAAAGAAAGAUAUAUAGGAGGGCUGUGACAAAAAUAUUUUUUUUUCAAGUCAGAUUUUACAACUAUGUUGUUUUUAUACUCUAUACAAGUAAUGUUUUGAAACAAUUUACGAUUA